rnacentral:rRNA from 1 species
CCCUUAGAUGUCCUGGGCCGCACGCGCGUUACACUGAUGCAUUCAACGAGCUUAUAACCUUGGCCGAGAGGCCUGGGCAAUCUUGUUAACGUGCAUCGUGAUAGGGAUAGAUUAUUGAAAUUAUUAAUCUUGAACGAGGAAUUCCUAGUAAACGCAGAUCAUCAAUCUGCAUUGAUUACGUCCCUGCCCUUUGUACACACCGCCCGUCGCACCUACCGAUUGGAUGGUCCGGUGAAGCCUCGGGAUUGUGGUUCUUGCCGCUUUAUUGUGGCGUGACCGCGAGAACUUGUCUAAACCUUAUCAUCUAGAGGAAGUUGAAGUCGUAACA